AGGCACUGGGCUCUGAUUCUCUGUAUUUCCUAGUGCUCCUUUGAGCAUGCCAGGUUGCUUCCCGAAGCUGCUUUGGAUGCCAAGUGAAGAUAAAUGUAAUGAUACCUUUGCUGUCGUUCAGUCCUGGAUGUUUGAGACUUGGGAACCACCCUUAAAUUCCUUGGGCUGGAAGCAUCCCUGAGGGACCACCUGGCUUAUCCCCCCAUCCCCCAUCGCCUGCCUCGGAGCAGGCAGUCCGUGCUCACGUGUGCCGGAGGAAUUGCUGUGGGUCCCUUUUCUAAAAAUCUGCAGAGGAAGUCUCUAUGUUUUCUGCUUGGUAGAAAAUGCCGGCACCCCUCCCUCAACCUUCAUCACUGGAUGGUCUGGACAUCCUUCUGAACAGCUGACUUUGUUUCUUCCUUCUGUGGCUCAGGAGUGGCCCACCCAUGGAAGCUUGUCUGUCUGUUCCCCCAUCCCCCCGACCCCCUGUGUGCCCACAGGGGGCCAUCCAGAGCUGUGACUGGCCAGGACACCUCAGUCCACUGUGCUGCUCCACCAUGGCCUGGCUGCUGUAGGGAAACAUUGUCCCUCUUAACUCUCACCCAGGCUUUUGGUGACGUGAGGCCUUGAUGAAAUGCUUUGUCCAUCGCUUCCAACUCAUUGAACCAAGGUGGACACUGGGCAGAGAAAUCAUUUGCCAAGAGAUAGGUAUUUGUAGGACUCGCAUAAAUUCACGUGUCCUGUAUCCUGUUGUUUGUCUUCUCCAUCCCACCACCUCCUCAUUUAAAAAAUGCAAUACAAAGAAUUUUCUUCUAAAGAAUAGCUUUAGAAAUCCUCAUUCCUUUCCAUUCCCUCCAUUCCCAUUCACAUUAAAUUAGCGAAUGCUAAUUUGGACUGAUAGGGCACCACUGUGAAAAAGGUGUGAAGAAAGAUCUGCUUCUUGCUCAUGGGAG
rnacentral:lncRNA from 10 species